rnacentral:lncRNA from 1 species
AGACAAGAUCUUGCUCUGUUGCCCAGGCUGGAGCGCAAUGGUGCCAUAGUAGCUCACUGUAACCUUGAGCGUCUGUGCUCAAUCAAUCCUCCUACCUCAGCCUCCUGAGUAGCUGGGACUACAGAGACAGGGUCUUGUUCUGUUGUCCAAGCUGGUCUUGAAUUCCUGACCUCAAGCAAUCCUCCUGCCUCGGCCUCCCAAAACACUGGGAUUACUACAGGUUGAGCCACCGCGCUGGGCCGUCAUGCCCAGAGAGAGAAGUGAAGUAUCUGAACGCAUCAGCCUGAGAAUGGGUCAUUUACAAAGUAAAUAAAGGCAAUGCCAAACGUCAGCACAACAAGCAA